GACGAACGCUGGCGGCGUGCUUAACACAUGCAAGUCGAACGCUGAAGCCCGCUUGCGGGUGGAUGAGUGGCGAACGGGUGAGUAACACGUGAGUAACCUGCCCUUCACUUUGGGAUAACCUUCGGAAACGGGGGCUAAUACUGGAUAUGACUCAUGGCCGCAUGGUUGUGGGUGGAAAGAUUCUUUGGUGGGGGAUGGGCUCGCGGCCUAUCAGCUUGUUGGUGGGGUGAUGGCCUACCAAGGCGACGACGGGUAGCCGGCCUGAGAGGGCGACCGGCCACACUGGGACUGAGACACGGCCCAGACUCCUACGGGAGGCAGCAGUGGGGAAUAUUGCACAAUGGGCGCAAGCCUGAUGCAGCGACGCCGCGUGGGGGAUGACGGCCUGGUGUAA
rnacentral:rRNA from 1 species